rnacentral:rRNA from 1 species
GAUGAACGCUGGCGGCGUGCCUAAUACAUGCAAGUCGAGCGAACGGACGAGAAGCUUGCUUCUCUGAUGUUAGCGGCGGACGGGUGAGUAACACGUGGAUAACCUACCUAUAAGACUGGGAUAACUUCGGGAAACCGGAGCUAAUACCGGAUAAUAUUUUGAACCGCAUGGUUCAAUAGUGAAAGACGGUCUUGCUGUCACUUAUAGAUGGAUCCGCGCUGCAUUAGCUAGUUGGUAAGGUAACGGCUUACCAAGGCAACGAUGCAUAGCCGACCUGAGAGGGUGUUCGGCAACACUGGAACUGAGACACGGCCCAGACCCCUAGGGGAGGCAGCAGUAGGGAACCUUCCGCAAGGGGCGAAAGCCUGACGGAGCAACGCGGCGUGAGUGAUGAAGGUCUUCGGAUCGUAAAACGCUGUUAUUAGGGAAGAACAUAUGUGUAAGUAACUGUGCACAUCUGGACGGUACCUAAUCAGAAAGCCACGGCAAACUACGU